CCAUGGCUGUGAUGAAAAACACUUUCAACAAACAUGCCAGUUCUGCUUCUGAAAAUUCAUGACUGAAAAACCUGUUAUACAAGAUCUGUUUAGU
rnacentral:snoRNA from 1 species